AAAUGUCAGAGAAGCACAUACACAUCAUGUAUAUAAAUAAUCCGCCAAAAUAAUUUCAGAAACAUGUUUGCUCUUGCCUUUUGGUAUCAAAAGCCUGACCUAAAGCCUGUAACAUCAAUAAACAGGCUCAGAGACUUCAAACCUGACUUUAGGGUAUGGUAUUUUUCCAUGACUUGUGUUUUUAAGUCGUGUUCCCUCACAGUUAUGGCUUCUCCUCUAUGGAAGCAGCAGAACUUCAAACCUACUCCAACUAACAUACUUGAAAUCAGCUCACCUGAAGGCAGUUCAACAGUGUUGGUCUUUAUAUAAUUAUCUGCCUAGAAACCACAGAGUCUGCGUACGCUGUCUAUUUGUUUACUUGUCCCUUGAUCUAAGCAAAGGGAUGCUUACUCAAAUAUACCCAUUACUUUUUUUUUUUCUUCCAGUUUGCAAAUCUCUUCUCUCCUGCAAUGUUUAAACUCAGUCUUCCAAUAAACAAGAUGAGUCCGAUUGCUUUGAAGUACCUUGGCUUUAUCUGAGUGCACAAAUGAAACAUCUAACCGGUAUAGCCACGUACGUCAGCACACCAGACACAAAGUAGUGCGAAAAACCAGGCUGCAACACUUGAAUAUCUUCAUGCUUAUUCUUCCACCCUUAAGGAUGUUUUCUUGGUUAGCCAACUUUAAAUCAAUCUAUUGUAUAUACAGCACUAUUGAAAAUCGGCACUCAAGUGUACAAGAUAAACAUGUGCUCCUACUGGAACAUGAGAUAAUAAAUCUGCAUCCCUGUGAUUACUACCGCUACCGUGAAGCUGCCUUCAAUGCACAGAGCAAUACAAAGCUGGGGAGCCGUGCCAAGGAAGCAAGAGGCCCUGUGCAGAGAAAGGCCAGCACUUCGGAAACACAAACAGAGCUGCGCAAGGGAGAAAUGCAGGGUCACUGAAAACAGGGUCUGCCAGACAUUACAUAUGUAUACCCAGAACAAAGAGGGAAGUUUCUUCACACAAGUAGGAAGGCUUUCCUGCUCAGAAUACAUGUGACCCCACAGCCACAGGGAAAGUAAAAGGCUCUGAAUUCACAUUUACUGCAGAAGUAAAGUACUGUAAGUUUUGAUGUCUCCUUCUCCUUGAUGGAAAGAGUCGAUUCGUACGAAGGAAAGCAUAAGGCUGACUGAAGAAAAGUGAUAAUUACAUUAGAAUAAUAAUAACAACAACAAAACCUGCAGCUAAUGAAGACUGCCUGCUUCACUUAAUUUAAGAAGGGGCUUCACCCUAUGAGGAAGACAGAAAGCUCUGUGGCUCACUCACCCCUCCUAUGCAUGCCAUCAGAAUGCUCACUGUGCCAAACCCCUUCAGCUGAACUGGUUGGACUGGUCAGUGACAGCGACAGAAAGAAGUGCUUGUGCUCCUAUCUCCUGGAUCGUUCUGCAGGCUGCUCUCCGGGCUGAAUAAAGAUAGCUAUAGGAACUCAUUAAUGGAGCAAGGAAAGGAAAGAGAAGCCGGGUGAUUCUCACGGAGGAUCUCACACACACGUAUCAGCUGGCACAGCCUGAAUGACAAAGGGACAUUAUUUCACUUUUUUUUUUUUUUUCUCCCAAUGAGAAGCUGAUUCUUUAACAAAGUUGCUUACAGUGCAUGGCUUUACAAGAAAACAAACAACACUCCUUGCAAAAAAUCUAAGCUAGACCCCAAACAGGUUAAGGCAAACAUGAGAAGCGUCGGCUCCUCCAGCACUUCUACCACUCUCUCUGGAGCGUCAAACUGGCUUUUACUUCACUGGAGGCUUGUGCUACCUGAACUUUCUUUUUUGGACCCGUGAGCACAGAAUGCUACGUCAGGUUGUUGAGAAGAGAGGUUUUAUUUGCCAUCAAGACGAGCUACUGCCGGAUGAAGGCUUAAGGCACGGUUUGCCCCCUGCCCCCAGUGCGAGGAAUCCCUGCGGUGCUGCUCACAAGUGCCUGCUCGUCAAGGAAGCCAAACCCUAUCUGUCCCAGCUUCCUUCAAGCUGUCGCAGCUUUUGCCGUGCUUUAGCAGGAUCUACUGCCCUCCAGAAGCUGGAAGUGAGACAAAGAGGGUUUACAAACCAUCGGUCCAAUUCUGAUUGAAGGUUACUGGCUACAGAAACCCACAAAUAAUCUUCCUCUCCUCAUCUAACACAACCUCACUGCCCAAACAGAUUUCCUCUAUCACUGCUGAGCGCAAUGAACUGGAUUUGCCGUAGUGGGAAGUGUUUCUCCAUUAUUUAAAGAGCCGCUGGGAGAAUCUGUGAGAAAUAAAUGAGAGACUGCAGUGCCUCAGGUUUCAUUAGCCUAUCCCUCGAUCUGACACCCCAACAGGAAAAGAGGUUUGCAGUGAUCCCGGUAACUUGUUUCUUUAUCUUCUUCCUCUUGACCUCUGUGCCAUCAGGUGCCUCUGAAACAUUCAUCACUAUCCGUGGCUGGAAACACCGACGCUGAUUAACAACCAGGAACAUAAAGCUCACUGGGAAGGAACACAGAUAGCAUCAAUGCUGCCAGUUUCUCUACGACUACCUAAUACACCUCCCCAGCAUAUGUAUCCUAGGUCAACAUGCCUGGCAGGCUGCAAACAAACCUGGAAUAAAAAUGAAUGAACAAGCUGUUCCGAACAGUGUUCUCCUAUGAGGGUAGCAGGGCUCACCAUCCCUUUAAACUAACCUACUGGUUACAGCAGCCCCUCCUUCUGAACGCACACUCUAAACAGUAAAGGGAAUAAAACUUCCCUUCUAGGAGAGCUUAAUUUGUACUCUCAUCCUGCUGCUGCCGUCACCACUAUUAGCACCAAGAGUAGCAUCAGCAGGCUACCAGAUACCAGUGGGGCCAUCGUGGGCACACAGAACCAGCUCACCAACACAGCAGCACAGAAAAAGCAAAAGAGUAAUGAAAGUGAUAUUCUAACAGCCAUGGGACACCUGUGUUUUGGCCAGACCCACCCCUGCAAAUACCAGAGCACCUUCCAUGCCAUGCUAUCAUCUGCAAAGCUGGGCUUUGCUCCCAAUGCUUGCCUCUGGUUUACACCAAAGCCCCUCACAUCAGGGAGCGCUUCCAGCAAGGACCUGAGGCCUCUCUAGCUAACAGCACCAAGUCAAAAAGAAGAAUGACUGCAAGGAACAUUGUUGAACUAUAGAGAUGCUUCUUCCUUGCAGAGCACAGGGCAGCACCCUGGCACUGUAAUCAUGAACAGAUGCAUUCACCUGCCUUCCUUGCUUCACUUACUCGCUCCAGUGCGCUACGACUGCCUGGACUUCCCUAACGGCAAAUCAUGAAACCAAGCUGACAGCAAAAAGCUGGGGCAGCAGCUCAAGCGACUGCCAAAGAGAAAUCUGUUUGCUCAGGCAAAAGCUGUUCUCAGUCCAAACAUGGGAGUCAUAAUCUUACAGCCAUUUGCUUGGAAGACAAUGAAGGGAAGGCGUAGCAGGCUGGGAAACUGCAGCUCGCCACAGCGCAAGAAGAGAAUGAUCUUUGUGCCCAGAUUUCCUCGCUCUGCAGGGUAAGUUUUACUGAGCUGACAACCGGUAGCAACACGUAGUGGCCCCAGGCACCAUGCCUGCCUAUCAAAGACUUGGAUUUUAGCCCUGGAGAAAUUAUAACGUCUCUCAGCUCUCUGGAAGCUCUACCGACCAAGAAGGCCAGUGAGUGACGACUGGCCUAACUAAUGAUUAGUUUAAUACAUGGAUUGCAUACUGCACGUGAUAAACGUAGGGGUGCCUGGGGUGCAGGAAGAACAAAGGGGACAUAAGCAGGAGGACCCCUUGAAUGUGACUGGCACAGCAUGUCUACUGGUUACAAAAGGCAACUAACUGAGGCUGUUACAACUGCACAGUGCUGCUGCGGCUGGGGCUGACACACCAAUGGAAAGGAUGGAGCCAGCAGAUCAGCAACGGAGGUGAGGGAACGGAAAGCUCGGCGAUUUGAGUUGAAAAAGACAUAAGGACAGGUGAGUGCAUGGACAUGGAUAAAGAGGCACCUGAUCUCAAGGUGGUCCCUGAGCGCUCAUGUCUGAGGGCACUGCCACUCUGCAUUCUUCUAUGGGGCUGAGGCCACCCGAGCACCUCUCCGCUGAGUGGCAUGGGGGCCCAGUCCCAGCCCACAUGUGCUCCUUGUGCUGCACUCAGAAGGUCUUCUGCAACACCCAUUGUAAUCCAGCUUUCAUCUGUUAAAAUAAGCUGCCAAACCUAAGGCUGGAGUUAUGGUCAGAGGCUUUUCUUUGUUGCAGCACUGCAAGAAACCCAAACCUUUCCAACUUCCUCUCCCAAAUGUCAACCUUGGGCCGCUCUGGUCCGUCCAUCGGAAGCAUGUGAUGUGAAAUAGAAGCCAGGAAAUAAGACUUUCUGAAUAAACAUUUAUUUGGUGAGAAAUACUUCUGAUUUUUGGCAGACAAAUGUCAGAAACCUGAAGCCCUAUGUAUAGCACGCCUACAGAAUGCAAUUUCUAUUUAAAGGGAAGCUGCAGCUGUCUGUAGCUCUUAAUGAAGAAUAAUGCCUGGGAAUAAAUUACUGCUGUUCGGAAAGACAUUUCUCCAAUGACAGUGAUACUCCCUCUUCUCCCUCCCCCUGUGAAUAUGGAGCAGCAGGCACUGGGCAGUUGUUGGGAAGAAUGGACACAUACAACUCCCUCUCUUUCGUCAACAGCUUGGUGAUUUCCAUGGAAAACUAUGAGGUGCUUUAGCACACAGCUACAAAAGCAAAUGCGUUCAGAGAGAGACACGAAGGCAGUAUAUGACACAACUUCACUUCUGCAAGGUGCAUGCUGCUCAUCACGGUCCCCAUGCAGCAGUUUCAACCGUGCUGCGGACUCAGCAUUGUGACAGCACUCUCAACACAGCACUGCCAACCCCAAUGGCUCUGGGUUUCCCCGCAGAGGGGCUGCCACGCCGGCAGCCUGGGCAGGAGGAGCAGGUGAUGCUCGAGGGAAAGGGUGCGCCCGGGCUGCCGUGCCCUCAGCAGUGGCUCAGGAAGCAGAGCUGACAUCAGCCCCAGGAGCUGCUCCCUCCCGGCCCAGCCAGCGUGCCAGGAAAAACAGCAGUGAGGGCUGCCAGGGGAGCAGUGUGAGUGAAAGAGGAAAGCAAGGAGCUGGGAAGGCUAAGAACGGGGCUGGGGCUGAACGCAGCCCCGGAGAUGCCCUCCCACAGGCAGCUCCCCACCGAAGUCAUGCACUGGGAGGCUGCAGGAGAAAGGCACGGGGCUGUUUACUACCCUGUCAGCUGCAGUUGGCCCACAAUAACAGCUCGCGAUAUGAGAUCGGCUGAAGACACAAGUGUUGGUUAUUGACCCAUACUGGGUUUAGAGAUUAAUUUUCCGUUUCCCACUCUCUGUGCCAGAGGUUUCAGCACAAGUGCAAAAAAACAAAAAAACAAAACAAAACCAACCAAAAAACCACCACAUGUGAAGAAAAGCCCAGGAGUGAGGAACGUGCAGAGUUUAUUCAUUGCUCCUGUCGGAACUGUGCUUGUGUGGCUAGCAGUCCAAAAAAGAUGUGGUGUAAGUUUUUAGGACGGAAAAAAAACUCAGAGUACCUGCACUUCACCAGAGAACUACAAAACCUUAUGCUGGAACUCACUGCAAUAGCAAAGCAGUCUCACCUUCCCCUGCCUUGCUCCCUAGCUAGGAGAAAUAGCAGUCCUCCUUAAGAAACCCUCCUGACAUCUCUCCUUCCCCCCCGCAGAAGCAGAAUAUGGACUUGAUUUGUAUAAGCUCUGCUAUUCCAGAACUUCACUUCAUCCAGAUGAGGAAGGCAGGAGAGAGGAAGUGAGAAUGUGGUGCUGUUUAGUAAACAGGCUGUUUCUAGGUGGAUCCGGGACGCUGGUCCCAGCUUACUGCCCACCCCCCCCGCAGUGAAGUCUGCUUCGGUGGCAGGAGGAGGAGGCGGAAGGGAUGAGAGCAGCGGGGAGGGUCUGUGCUUUCCCUGCGUCUUAACGUGACGACACCCUGCAAACACUCGGGCUUUUAAGGAAAAUCACUGUGCCCAGGCAUUUCCUUUCAGCACAAAGGGCAGCAGUGCCACCCCUCCUGGCUCAAGGUACUUCUGUCUGCUCGAGAGGCUAAUGCUGGAAGGAGAGGAGCCCGGCUGAUGCCUCCUUGCCACCAUGCUGUCCUCUGGGCAAAGCAAGGUGACAAAAUGCACUCACAGGGAACUCCUGAAGAGUUCUCCAUUGCCCAGAGCGACCCCCUCCAAACAUCCAUUCUGAAUGCCAGGCUGAGAGCCAUUCUCAAGAGCACUCUAUACUAUCUGUACCUGGGGAGAAGCGUGCUACUUCUUCUUCACAAGCCAGGGCCUCAUGAGUGUAAUUCAGGGUUUCGGCACCUCAGCAGCAGGCCACAGCACUACACUUACAGUGGGCUUAUUUUAAACCGCUGCGGACACGGCAGAAUGCAAUAAUCACACCACUAGCAUCUCGCAUAGACACUCCAUCCUCUGCAGUGGUUGACGGUUCCCACCCUCCUCAUGAAGCUUAUCUGGCUGAUCUCAGACACCCAGACGGUCUGUAUAGCACCCAGGGAAUGCUCUCCUCACACGCGGUGCUGCUGCUGCUGCAAUCGGCAGAGAUGAUUGAGACAUCCUGAGGAAACACCUCCCGCUAUCCCAACAGCUUCACAUGCUAGAGCAGUUUAUUAUCAUCAUUAUUAUUCUUUAAGGCUGCUCCCCUCUGCUCUAGGACGUCAGUCUGCAAAGUAAGCCCUUGUGGUUUCAAAGAAGUCUUUCAAAGUGUGGGAAUAAGCUGAUAUGGCUACAUCUGCUUGGAUACGCAGACAGUGAGAAGCUCCAGGUCUCAGAGGUCCCUUAUUCAUCUUAAUGAGUUAUUAACUCAGCUACUAGUUACCAACAAUUCCAAACGUUUGCCUUGUUAACUAUUUCACUGUUGAUCAAGGCACGCAGGAAAGGGGAAAGAUGACAAAGAUUUCUCUGUGUCUCCUGUAACGUUUGUUUUGCAAGUAGCCCUUUGGAAAGCAGCACCACUUAGGUCCUGGGUCAGUCUGCUCCCAAAGCCCGCAACCCAAAGACAUAAGCCAGCCAAAGGAGGGCAUCUGACUUCCAGGGAGCUAGAAGGGAUGCACAGGAGUCAGAAAAAAAGGGUUGUAUUUACUAAAUUUAAGGAAGGCACAACAACUAGUUUACUCAAACUGUUAAACUCUGCAGCUGUGUUAUCAUCACUGGCAUCCUGAAGGACUACUCAAUAAUGGUUCAAACAUCAACUCAACUAACUUUGAAAUUUUCAAGGUUUCUUAAGAUCAAAACAAGGAUUACUCUCAGCCUUGGUAGGCAGAGAAUUCUUGUUUCCUCUGCUUUUCAGGAUGUUUACAUCUGAUAUGCACAUUGCCCACUUCAACCCAGAAACACAGUGAGCUUCACAAGAAAAACAAUGAGCACAUAAAUAUUUAUGCCUUCUCUUUAGCCUUCCCUCAUGGGAAGGGUCUCUUUUAGUAAAGGCUGAAGGACCAGAGUCUUAAUUAUGUGACUGUUUUCUCUCUGAAGGUAUGCUACUCCAAUUCCCAUGAACACGAAUUUCCAAGAGGAACAUUUGUAUAGAAGUGUACAGUACUCAAUUUAAUACAGCAAACUGAUCAAAGGAACAGAAAUUUGGAAUACCGGAUGCAAAUAACCUCUAAUUUGGAAGCAGUCAAAUGACUUCAAUCACUGUAUGACCAUGUAUAAAAUUAAUGAAUCUGAACAGUAUGUUGAACUGUUAUCCGUAAUAUUUUUCAUUCUUGCUAGGCCACGCUAUCACAGGGCCUUCAAAAGCAGGCUUACACAUUUAGCUAAAAAAACAAUAAUGAUGCAUUAAAUAAUUGUAACGGUCCAAGGGAAAGAAACCCAACAUCAUUCCUCAGUUAUCACCAUUCUGCCCUUGAAGUCAUUAAAAAAAAAAAAAAAAAAACGAAGUAGAAGAAGAGAG